CGCCGGGGGUGGGAGCUGCGCCGUUCAAGUGCGCGGCUCGGCGGAGCAUUACGGCGGCCGAGCGCUGCCCGGGCCGGCAGCGCGGAGCCCGCAGCGCGGCCAUGGCCGAGCGCCGCGCCUUCGCGCAGAAGAUCAGCAGGACCGUGGCAGCCGAGGUCAGGAAGCAGAUCUCGGGGCAGUAUGGAGGCUCCCCACAGCUCCUCAAGAACCUCAACAUCGGAGGCAGCGUCUCUCAUCACACCACUGUGCCUCUCACAGAAGCUGUGGAUCCUGUGGACCUGGAGGAGUAUCUCAACACCCACCCUCUGGCCGUGGAGUCGGGGCCCCUGCGGGACCUGCUGGAGUUUCCCCGCGAUGACAUCGAGGUGGUUUACACCCCCCGCGAGUGCCGGACGCUCGUGUCGGCCGUGCCCGAGGAGAGCGAGAUGGACCCUCACGUGAGGGACUGUGUCAGGAGUUACACGGAGGACUGGGCCAUCGUCAACAGAAAAUACCACAAGCUGGGGACUGGGUUCAACCCCAACACCUUGGACAAGCAGAAGGAGAGGCAAAAAGGGCUGCCCAAACAGGUCUUUGAGUCUGACGAAGCUCCUGACGGCAACAGCUACCAGGAUGAACAAGAUGACCUCAAGCGCCGCUCAAUGUCGAUCGACGACACCCCGCGGGGCAGCUGGGCCUGCAGCAUCUUCGACCUCAAGAACUCCCUGCCUGAUGCCCUCCUCCCCAACCUGCUGGACAGAACCCCCAACGAGGAGAUCGACCACCACAACGAGGACCAGAGGAAGUCCAGCAGGCAUAAGGAGCUUUUUGCACUACACCCAGCACCAGAUGAGGAGGAGCCCAUAGAGAGACUCAGUGUCCCUGAAGUACCCAAAGAACACUUUGGCCAAAGACUCCUGGUGAAGUGUUUGUCCCUGAAAUUUGAAAUAGAAAUUGAGCCCAUUUUUGCAAGUUUGGCUUUGUAUGAUGUUAAAGAAAAGAAGAAGAUUUCAGAGAAUUUCUACUUUGAUUUAAACUCUGAGCAAAUGAAGGGAAUGCUUCGGCCUCAUGUCCCCCCUGCUGCUAUUUCCACCCUGGCCAGAUCUGCCAUCUUUUCCAUCACCUACCCAUCCCAAGAUGUCUUUCUAGUAAUAAAGCUGGAAAAAGUGUUACAGCAGGGAGAUAUUGGGGAGUGUGCAGAGCCUUACAUGAUUUUUAAGGAAUCUGAUGCAGCAAAGAACAAGGAGAAGUUGGAAAAACUGAAGGGCCAGGCAGAGCAGUUUUGCCAAAGACUGGGGAAGUACCGGAUGCCGUUCGCCUGGACAGCCAUUCACCUCAUGAACAUUGUGAGCAGUGCUGGCAGCUUGGAAAGAGAUUCCACAGAAGUUGAAGUUGGCACAGGAGAGCGUAAAGGGUCGUGGUCGGAGCGGCGCAAUUCCAGCAUCGUCGGGAGGCGCUCCCUGGAGAGGACCACGAGUGGGGACGAGGCUUGCAACCUGAGCAGCUUCAGGCCAGCCACCCUGACAGUGACCAACUUCUUCAAACAGGAGGGGGAUCGCCUGAGCGAUGAGGACCUGUACAAGUUCCUGGCUGACAUGAGGCGUCCCUCGUCGGUGCUGCGCAGGCUCAGACCCAUCACAGCUCAGUUGAAGAUAGACAUAUCUCCAGCUCCAGAGAACCCCCACUACUGCCUAACCCCAGAGCUGCUGCAGGUCAAGCUCUACCCAGACAGCAGAGUCAGACCUACAAGAGAAAUCCUGGAGUUCCCUGCCAGGGAUGUCUACGUCCCAAACACCACAUACAGGAAUCUCCUUUAUGUGUAUCCACAGAGCCUUAAUUUCGCCAACCGGCAGGGAUCAGCCAGGAAUAUCACCGUGAAAGUGCAGUUCAUGUAUGGAGAGGAUCCCAGCAAUGCCAUGCCGGUCAUCUUUGGCAAAUCCAGCUGUCCUGAGUUUUCCAAGGAAGCAUACACAGCUGUGGUGUAUCACAACAGAUCUCCUGACUUUCACGAGGAAAUCAAGAUUAAGCUUCCAGCCACUUUGACAGACCACCACCACCUGCUUUUUACUUUCUACCACGUCAGUUGCCAACAAAAACAAAACACACCCCUGGAGACUCCAGUCGGCUACACUUGGAUCCCGAUGCUGCAGAAUGGCCGGUUAAAGACGGGUCAGUUCUGUCUGCCUGUGUCAUUGGAAAAGCCACCACAGGCUUAUUCAGUGCUUUCUCCAGAGGUUCCUCUCCCUGGGAUGAAGUGGGUGGACAACCACAAAGGGGUUUUCAAUGUGGAAGUUGUUGCUGUGUCAUCCCUCCACACUCAGGACCCUUACCUCGACAAGUUCUUUGCACUUGUCCAUGCUCUGGAUGAGCACAUGUUCCCUGUGCGAAUAGGAGACAUGAGAAUUAUGGAGAACAACUUGGAAAAUGAACUGAAGAGCAGCAUUUCAGCUUUAAAUUCCUCUCAACUGGAGCCGGUAGUGCGAUUUCUUCAUCUCCUGCUUGACAAACUGAUCCUUCUGGUAGUAAGACCUCCUGUCAUUGCAGGCCAAAUAGUGAACCUGGGCCAAGCAUCUUUUGAGGCGAUGGCAUCGAUCAUAAACAGACUUCACAAGAACCUGGAUGGCAACCAGGACCAGCAUGGCAGGAACAGCCUGCUUGCUUCCUAUAUUUAUUAUGUUUUUCGCCUGCCCAACACCUAUCCCAACUCACCAUCACCAGGUCCCGGCGGCCUGGGGGGGUCCGUGCACUACGCCACCAUGGCCAGGUCGGCCGUGCGCCCCGCCAGCCUCAACCUGAACCGCUCGCGCAGCCUCAGCAACAGCAACCCCGACAUCUCCGGCACCCCCACCUCGCCCGACGACGAGGUGCGCUCCAUCAUCGGCACCAAGGGCUUGGACCGCUCCAAUUCCUGGGUAAACACUGGUGGUCCAAAAGCAGCCCCAUGGGGAUCCAACCCCAGCCCAAGUGCAGAGUCAACACAGGCUACGGAUCGAAGUUGUAAUCGUAUGUCUUCGCACACUGAGACGUCAAGUUUCUUACAAACAUUAACAGGACGAUUACCAACCAAAAAGCUUUUCCACGAGGAGCUGGCCCUGCAGUGGGUUGUGUGCAGCGGGAGCGUGCGGGAGGCGGCCCUGCAGCAGGCCUGGUUCUUCUUCGAGCUGAUGGUGAAGAGCAUGGUGCAUCAUCUGUAUUUUGCUGACAAACUGGAUGCGCCGAGGAAGAAUCGUUUCCCGGAGCGCUUCAUGGAUGACGUGUCUGCACUGGUCAGCACAAUCGCUGGUGAUAUAGUCUCCCGCUUCCAGAAGGACACGGAAAUGGUGGAGCGGCUCAACACCAGUCUCGCGUUUUUCCUCAAUGAUUUGUUGUCCAUCAUGGACAGAGGAUUUGUUUUUGGUCUUAUUAAGACCUGCUACAAACAGGUGUCUGCAAAGGUGUAUUCCUUAACAAAUCCAAGCAACCUGGCAUCUCUGAAGCUGGACUUCCUGCGCAUCAUUUGCAGCCACGAGCACUAUGUCACCUUGAAUUUACCCUGCAGCUUGCUCACACCACCUGCAUCUCCCUCACCGUCCGUGUCUUCAGCCACUUCCCAGAGUUCUGGGUUCUCCACCAAUGUCCAAGACCAGAAGAUUGCAAAUAUGUUUGAGUUGUCUGUGCCUUUCCGCCAGCAGCAUUACCUGGCCGGGCUGGUGCUCACAGAACUGGCUGUCAUUCUAGAUCCUGAUGCAGAAGGAUUAUUUGGAUUGCAUAAGAAGGUCAUCAACAUGGUACACAACCUGCUGUCCAGCCACGACUCGGACCCGCGGUACGCUGACCCCCAGGUAAAGGCCCGGGUGGCAAUGCUGUAUCUACCUCUGAUUGGCGUGAUCAUGGAAACUGUGCCUCAGCUCUAUGACUUCACAGAGAGCCACAACCAGCGGGGGAGGCCGAGCUGUGUUGCCGUGGACGAUUACGAGAGCGAGGGUGGCAGCAUGAUCAGCCAGACGGUGGCCAUGGCCAUUGCAGGGACUUCUGUCCCCCAGCUCACCAGGCCCAGCAGUUUUCUACUCCCUUCUUCGAGUGGCAGGCAGCACUCCACCUUCUCAACAGAGUCCAGUCGCAGCCUCCUCAUCUGCCUGCUGUGGGUGCUGAAGAACGCGGACGAGAGCGUCCUGCAGAAGUGGUUCACUGACCUGUCAGUGCUGCAGCUCAACCGCCUGCUGGACCUGCUCUAUCUCUGUGUCUCCUGCUUUGAGUACAAGGGCAAGAAAGUGUUUGAAAGAAUGAACAGUCUGACGUUUAAGAAGUCAAAAGACAUGAGAGCCAAACUUGAAGAAGCAAUUUUGGGCAGCAUAGGGGCAAGGCAGGAAAUGGUCCGAAGAAGUAGAGGACAGCUGGAGAGGAGUCCUUCUGGGAGUGCCUUUGGAAGUCAAGAGAAUCUGAGAUGGAGAAAGGAUAUGACUCACUGGCGGCAGAACACCGAGAAGCUUGACAAAAGCCACAAACCAGCCAGGUCAAGGGCAGAGAUAGAGCAUGAAGCACUCAUCGAUGGGAAUCUUGCAACAGAAGCCAACCUGAUAAUUUUGGAUACUCUAGAGAUAGUUGUACAGACCGUGUCCGUGACGGAGUCCAAGGAGAGCAUCCUCGGUGGGGUGCUCAAAGUGCUGCUGCACAGCAUGGCCUGCAACCAAAGUGCCCUUUACCUCCAGCACUGCUUUGCCACACAGAGAGCUUUGGUCUCAAAGUUCCCUGAGCUGCUGUUUGAGGAGGAGACAGAGCAGUGUGCAGACCUGUGCCUGAGGCUCCUGAGGCACUGCAGCAGCAGCAUUGGCACCAUCAGGUCCCACGCCAGUGCCUCCCUGUACCUGCUCAUGAGGCAGAACUUCGAGAUUGGGAACAACUUUGCCAGAGUGAAGAUGCAGGUGACCAUGUCCCUCUCAUCCCUGGUGGGGACCUCCCAGAACUUCAAUGAAGAAUUUCUGCGGCGUUCCCUCAAGACUAUUCUGACAUAUGCUGAAGAAGAUCUGGAACUUAGGGAGACAACAUUUCCUGACCAGGUCCAGGAUUUAGUGUUCAACCUCCAUAUGAUCCUGUCAGACACAGUUAAAAUGAAGGAGCACCAGGAAGAUCCAGAAAUGCUGAUUGACCUGAUGUACAGGAUUGCCAAGGGCUACCAGAAUUCCCCUGACCUGCGCCUGACGUGGCUGCAGAACAUGGCAGGGAAACAUUCCGAGAGGAGCAACCACGCCGAGUCUGCCCAGUGCCUGGUGCACUCUGCAGCCCUGGUGGCCGAGUACCUGAGCAUGCUGGAGGACAGGAAAUACCUCCCUGUGGGCUGUGUGACAUUCCAGAACAUAUCUUCCAAUGUUUUGGAAGAGUCAGCAGUUUCUGAUGAUGUUGUGUCCCCAGAUGAAGAAGGAAUCUGUUCUGGGAAGUAUUUUACAGAAGCUGGUCUGGUGGGAUUGCUCGAACAGGCUGCAGCAUCUUUUUCCAUGGCUGGCAUGUAUGAAGCAGUUAAUGAGGUUUACAAAGUCCUUAUUCCUAUUCAUGAAGCCAACAGAGAUGCCAAGAAGUUGUCUACUAUUCAUGGUAAACUGCAGGAAGCAUUCAGCAAGAUUGUUCACCAGAGUACUGGCUGGGAGUUCCUACUUGUGGAAAUUUUUUUCCCUUUCUCUGCCCCUUUUCCCCCACCUCCCCUUUUUUGUUUUUGUUUUGUUUGUUUGUUUGUUUUACACUGUGGAACCCCCAAUUUCAUUUUAGCAAAGAGCUAUGCCAACAGCAGCACCCCCCUCAUGGCACAAGGAAUGUGGUGUUGCCAACUACAAAAGCAUUGCAGUGUCCUGGGGCUGGCACCAGAGCAUUCCUGAGCUCUCCUUAAACACACCAGCUGAUGGGCUUUGUGUGUUUAUUCAUGGAAUAAAUGUUAAAUUUAUUCUAUUUGUUUGCUUUCCAAUUAGGAAAAUUAAGAAAAAAUCUUUUCAUGCUGUGCCACGAGAAUUUAAAAACUCUUUUUAAACUGUGCAGGGAGAGGUUGCCAGUGGAUAACAAGGCUCCAGGAGCUGAUUGUUUCCCAAAAAAUCAAUAUUGGAAGACUUGUAGUAGUUGGCAACACCGCAAAGGACCUUGGGUUAAAAUUGAGCAGGAAAAUAACAGUGCUGGGUUUGGUAAAGAUGGGUUGGAUUCUGCAUUUUGAAGGAGUUGCUUUUGUUCCUGCACCCUUCAGGCAGCUGCUGCUGUCCUGGUGGAGGAAGCAAUGAUCCCUCUUGUGUCUGAUUUAUCUUGUUUUUCCCAACAAAUCUUGUUGGCAAAGCUUUUUGUGUGCGUGCAAGAGAUAACCCCAAAACUUUAUUCCCAGCAAUUUGGAAAGGUAUUUACCAUGCAUAAUAACAAAUCAUGAACCCUCAUAAGUCAUGGUGGCUGUUACCUGCUCUGCCAGUUGUGUGAUGGCUAUUCAGUGUUCACCUUCAUUCUCUUCUCCUCCCAAAAUCCUAUUAUUUUUUGAUAAAAUAAUAGGAGAUACGAUGCUUUUAAUAAUUCCUCCCUCAUAUCUGCAUUUUUAGCUCUUGCCAGAAACAAGACCACAGAGCAUUUAAUUAUUUGUUCCGUUUUCCCUGCUGUGGCUGGGAAGUGGUUUGGUGUUGGCUGAGUUUGAGAUGCCAGUACAGAGCCAUCCCCUAUCCCUAAUGCCAGGCAUGGAGCUGAUCCCAGGGAAGAGGCAGCUCCUGAAUAUCCUUGGCAGGCCUGGAGUGGUCUGGAAAUGUUUUCCCCAAAGGGAUUUGCUCCCAUUCCCUUGCCUCCAGGCACAGAUUCCCAGCAUAAGUCACAUCAGGGGCUGACAGUGCUCCUCACUGCUGCCUCUGGGAUCCCUUUAACUGGGAUUCAGCAUCUGGAUUUACCAGGGAGAGCCAGAGCAGCAUGGGGUUGAGCUGGGAGCUGAUCUCACACAGGAACAGGGAAUCUCAGCAGGCUUUCCUGGAGCUCUGCCACUCCUGGGACUCCCCAAUGCCCCAAAGCUUUGACUUUAUGCAUUUAGUAAAUGCCAGCAGGACUCCUCAGGGAUUUAUGCUGAUCAGCAGACAGCAUUCUCUUCCUCCCUUGUUAUUUUUACCCUGCCUGUAACAAGGAGCUGCCUGGCCAGGUGUCCAUGCCAAAAACUCACUUGUAGGGGUCUGGUUCUGCAAAUGCUUCCCACCCUGGAAACCCCUGGCCCAGGAGGAAGGAAACAGCUCAUUAAUUAGAAAUCAGUGUGUCCUCAACCACCCAGUGCCAGGCUUGGGGAAGGAUCCCACAACCUUUGGCCCUGGAAAGCUGAUCCAUGUGGCAGCUCCCCCCAGGCAGACACGGAGUCAUGGAAUGGUUUGGGUUGGAAAGGACCUUAAAGAGAUGAGGUUCCAACCCCACCUUCCCCCAGGUCCUGACUGUGUGAAAGGAGUCCUGGAGUCAGAGCCUUCUGUCUGUGACAGUGAGGUGGAAGCUGGAAAUGCUGGGUGUUGAGGGAUUUUAGUGUGGAUAAUGUUACCCCAAACUGUGGCUUUGAAAAGGUAGUGAUGAGGAAAAAAGGGUUCAGUAGCUCAAUCCUGAAUGAAUCCAGAGGGAUGGGCACUGGACAAAGGCAGGGAGUCCAGGGAAAUGGCAGCAUCCAGUAAAACAGCAGCAGCUCUGCAGCUGGAGUCCCCACCCUGGGAGGGGUGCUGGGAUCCUGUGGUGUGCUGAAAGCCCUGGCAGUGGGGCUGGAGAAGAGCCCCUCUCUGCAGGAGGAUUCCCAGAGGGAUGGGCUCUAGAGCAGGGUCCAGGGAGCCUGGGCAUAGCCCCGUGUGGCUUUUGUGGGAUGAGGGCUGCUACUCACCCCAGGUGCCUUCAGGAGGGCAGAGCUCAGCUCUGAAGUUGAAGUUUUUUUGCCCUCAGGCACCUCCAAGAAGAUGCUCCAGAGUUUCCUCCAGCCAGGAGAAGGCAGUGGCCAUGCCAGUGGUUUUUGCAGUCUGGAGUUUGCCUGAAGGGUUUUUUUAUUUUAGUUUGGUUUAUUUAUCCUCUUUGCCUUCCGUAGAUCAUGUUCACCAUCACAAGAGAUCAGUUUUGCCAUAGCAAAAUACUAAAACAAAACCUGGCAGCCAGGACACCUGUAAGGGCUGUUUGAAGCCAAAACCUAGCCCAGCUCAGGGGCACUCAGUGUCCUUAACUGCAUCACACUUUGUCACGAGAGUAAAGGUGAACAUUUUGGAGUUUCUUGCUGAAAGGCAUCCCUGGUUUGUGCAUGCAGCGUGAGUUCUUUAACACAAGCAAGGUGUGUUUAAUUUUUAAAGCAUUUUUCUUCUCUCUUUCUCUCUCUCCUAAUCAGAUUUUCUCCGUUGCCUUUCCAGCAAAAAAUCUUUCUUGUUUCUCUCCUUUUGUUGCGUUUCGGGGCCAAAUUCACCACUGGCUCCCCUGGAAGCAGGAUGGAAAGAGGAUGUUUGGCACCUACUUCCGAGUUGGUUUUUAUGGAACUAAGUUUGGAGACCUGGAUGAGCAAGAGUUUGUUUACAAGGAGCCUGCAAUAACCAAGUUGGCUGAAAUCUCCCAUCGGCUGGAG